GAUAACCAACAUUCAUUAAUCGAAAUACGUAAGAGUCAAGAGUCUAAGCUCAUCAAAAGAUAUCAUUUAGAGUCAUAACAUAAAAGUCUUAAGUCAAGGAAACGAAAGACAAAUAAAGGCUAGUACUACAGCGGAAGUCAAAACACGGAGUUGAACCCUAGCCUUAGCUCUCCCCGUCAGCACCAGCCAUCAACCUGAAAAACAUUUGAAAAUAUUUGGGCUAAGUACUAAUGUACUUAGUGGGCUGCAACUUUUAAAACAUUUCACAAUUCGUAAGAGCAGUUUAUCCAAUCAUUCAUGACAUAACUUAGAAGGUUUUAAAACAAAAAUAACUUCUAAGCAUGUUAAAGUAUUUCAUUUUAUUAGCGCGCCAUUGUCACACUCUGUUUAGUUACUCGCUGUGAUACCGGACCUUUUAGCCACCGACGUAUCGCUUUCUCCCAUGACACUUGCCCUGAGGACGUAACUCAGACAAGUUGAAUUGACCUCGGGACGCUACCC
rnacentral:lncRNA from 1 species